UGAGGAAUAUUGGUCAAUGGCCGGAAGGCUGAACCAGCCAAGUCGCGUGAGGGAAUAAGGCCCUACGGGUCGUAAACCUCUUUUGUCAGGGAGCAAGGCCGCCCACGUGUGGACGGAAGGAGAGUACCUGGAGAAAAAGCAUCGGCUAACUCCGUGCC
rnacentral:rRNA from 1 species